ACUGCUUCCUGCUAACGCACAUCUGAGUAGUAGCAGGUGACGGCUCCAGGUACUUGGGUCCCCGACACUCAUCUGGGAAACUCAGAUGGACCUCCAGCUCCUGCCUUUGGUCUGGUGCAAUCCAGCUGUUUUGGGCACUUGAGAAGUGAAUUAGGGGAUGGGAGAUCUCUAUCUGUCUCACUGUCUCUCUCUCUCUGCCUUUCGUAUAAAAAAAAAAGGCCUCAUUUUCAAUUUGAACUGCAAACAACUCCACAUUAAAAAUGAAAAGGUUCAUAGCCCACAAGAGCUACAUCAGCCUGGUGCAAGCUGCGACCUCAAGCCUCCAUAGUCAUUCUUUCUCUGAAUGGGCAGGCCCUGACUAUUACCUUGCUCUGCCCACUUAAUUUUUGCAAAGAAAAUUUCACAUGUAGCAGCCAGUUCCCUGAAGUGAAGAUUUCCUUAUGACUUUCACAGUGCCAGUUAAGUAAGAUAUCCACAUAUCUUUGUUAACAGCCACUUAACAACUUUGCAUCAUUUAAAAUGCCAGGCCAAUGAGCUGACGGUGGCCCUAGAAGGUGGCCCUAGAAGAUAACAGCAUUCAGGCGGGGGCCAGAAAUUGAUACUUCCAGUCAUUCUUGGUGGUUUGCCUGCACCGACUUUGUGAGCCAGCUCAUGAUCUCAGGAUGUAUGAAAAAAUAACAAUUGCACUACUAUUGUUCGGUUUCAUUACUACAGCACCUGCCAACUUCACAGCUUCAACAUUAAAUAAUGAAAAACAAGACAUUACUUCUGAACAUACGGUUUUAGCAACAAAAUCAAGUAGGACCUCUUUUUUUUGCUUUUUUUUUUUUUUUUUUUUUUUGAAAACAAGUAAGAACCUAUUUGGGAAGUACAUUUUUAAGUAUUUUCCCUACCUUUUCUUUAUAGGUUCUGUUUCUACAUCGACUGCCAAACUCUGGUCUUCAACCUUAAGUAAUGGAAAAACUGACCCAACAAAAUCAAGUUCUGUUUCUACAUCGACUGCCAAACUCUGGUCUUCAACCUUAAGUAGUGGAAAAACUGACCCAACAAAACCAAGUGUUGUUUCCACACAGCUCAGAACACCUGUCAAAGCUCUCAACGAAACAGAACGUGGAAAUGGCAAUGGUUCUGUAGAAAAGCCAGAUGUUGUUUCCACACAGCUCAGAACACCUGUCAAAGCUCUCAACGAAACAGAACGUGGAAAUGGCAAUGGUUCUGUAGAAAAGCCAGGUUUGUUUUUAUUCUUGUAUGGUUUCUCUGGAGUCCCUUUUGGAACACCACUGUAUUGAAUGGGACCUGCCAUUGUAUGGACACUGUGACAAACAAGAAAUGGAAGCUGAGUUGAUGGUCCCUACUGCAGGACAAUGCUCACUUCUGAGAUAUCUCACAGAAAUAAUCCUAUGGUUAAGGAAAACAAAAUAAUCUAAGGGAGCACAGAAGGAAUGAAUGAAAUGGUGACCUGAUGAAGGGGUCCCAUAAUGCAGUGAUGGAUGAAGAGGACCAGUGGGAAAAUCCAGAUGGGCUCAGGGCUGGGCUGGUCCUGUGCCAGCUACUGACCCAGGGGUGAACUCCCUGUCUAAAUUUCAAAGUGGGACCAGUAAUCCUUGCCUUGCAGUGUUUCUCUAAAGAUUGAAUAAGACGAUGUAUGCAUAAGUGUUAAGCUCAGAGCCUGACAUAGCAUCAGUCCCUCAUAGAUGAUAUCUGUAAGCCAAGCUGUGUGCUGAGAUCAGCAUGGUCAGAGAGUGUUCACUCCCUCUCAUUAUUUUUCUAGGGAGAACAUGGCUUUAUAGUAGAAAGGGCAGGGGGAUCUUCUCUAUGUGGGAUUCAAGAAGGAUACCCCAGAUUUAAAAUACAACCUGAAAGAAGACUUAGAGAGGCCACAGGACCACAAGCUAAUAGAAUUGUUGAGCAAAUGCACAGAGACCAACGGAGGCAAUGGGUUUUAAGUAGAACAAAAGCCAAGGGAGGGAAAUUGGGAUGACAUUAGAGAAAUCAGAAGUAGUUAUUAAGCUCCUGGGUCCAGUUAGACAACUUCACUUUCAAAUGAUUUCCAAGUGAAGCCAACGUGAUGGUGUGAUAUGGGAAGCACUGAAGGGCUACAUGCCCGGUGUCCUAUAAAUGAUGACUGCAUGGUGGGGCAUUGCACUGAGUGUUUACAUGUGUGACCUAAUCUCAUCCUCAUGAGAACCCAUAACAAGUCAGGGGCAUCCUCACGACUGAAACUCCACCUUUUUUUCCCAAGCCCUUUAAAUGAGGGUAUUUCCAAAAAUUCAUAGAAAAUAGAAUUAAAAUAUAGGUUUUUUUGUUGCAAAAUUUUUGAAAUCCAUUCCUAGUUUCUUCAUUGUAUUCACUUUCAUGAACUUUUUGAAGACUCCUCACACUAACUACCAGCAUUGACUGUAUAUUACAGUAUGUGCUUGUGGGUGAUCCUGUGAGGUUGCCUGCCCUGACCAUGCAAGAUCUUGAGAGGGCAUGGCGCGCUGUGCCCUCUGGGAGAGACCCCCCCCCCACCAGCCUGGCUGCUGGCUGGCAGUGGGAGCCCCAGGCACAUUUCUCCCCACCCCCAGCAAGCAGGUAAACUGCUUCUAGGUGUGGCCAGGCCACCUGGAAAGCCAUCCUAGCUAUGUGACCUUCAAAUGAUUGGGCACGCAUAGCAGUGCCAAUAUCAGCUUCAACCUAUGGAAUUAGUAUUGUCCUCAAUUAGUUAGGCUCCCUCUGUCUGCUCUCUGCUUGGUCGUUAAUAAAGCAGACAUGUUCACCGAACCCUGUCCCUGG
ensembl:lncRNA